GUAGGUGGCAAGCGUUGUCCGGAAUUAUUGGGGCGUAAAGCGCGCGCAGGCGGUUCUUUAAGUCUGAUGUGAAAGCCCACGGGCUCAACCGUGGAGGGUCAUUGGAAACUGGAGAACUUGAGUACAGAAGAGGAAAGCGGAAUUCCACGUGUAGCGGUGAAAUGCGUAGAGAUGUGGAGGAACACCAGUGGCGAAGGCGGCUUUCUGGUCUGUAACUGACGCUGAGGCGCGAAAGCGUGGGGAGCAAACAGGAUUAGAUACCCUGGUAGUCCACGCCGUAAACGAUGAGUGCUAAGUGUUAGGGGAUUUCCGCCCCUUAGUGCUGCAGCUAACGCAUUAAGCACUCCGCCUGGGGAGUACGGCCGCAAGGCUG
rnacentral:rRNA from 1 species